rnacentral:rRNA from 1 species
AAUGGGAUGCGAAUCUCGAAAGACCUGUCUCAGUUCGGAUUGGAGGCUGAAACCCGCCUCCAUGAAGUUGGAUUCGCUAGUAAUCGCGCAUCAGCCAUGGCGCGGUGAAUACGUUCCCGGGCCUUGUACACACCGCCCGUCAAGCCAUGGGAGCCGGGGGUGCCUGAAGUUCGUGACCGCAAGGAGCGACCUAGGGCAAAACUGGUGACUGGGGCUAAGUCGUAACAAGGUAAC